UCUGUCUUCAGGUUACAGUGGAGGCGGUCGCAGCAGCAAUGACGAGGGGUGUGCUUGAUCCCCUCUACACUCUCCUGGAGAGUCCUGCCUGCCCUCCAGGUGAUGUCCUCUUACAGGUGCAGCAGGAUCAUGUGGAGAGCGACCAGAGUCCCCCGUCUGGCCCCAAUGCAAACCAUAUUUUAGCAGCUGCUGACAUGACUGGUAUAAGAACAAAUGGUGAAGAUUCGUACAGAAGUGGGGAAAAUUAUUCUUCUCAAAGGGCUUCUAAACCCAGAGUUUGAAAGAAAACAAAGACAGAUGCGCCUAGCCAAAGCAAGGAUGCUGAGGCUUUCAUACUCCUGCCCCUAUGAAGUCCAUCUAACGAUAGCAUCUGCUGGAAUUACAUCCUGACAUACAAAAUAUCUCCAGGUGGAACCCGGAACUAGAGAACAUUUGCAAUCUGUAUAACUCCUGGUGACCUCAAAGGAGUCAGGUAGAAUGAAUGGAUGCUACUUUUCAAAUGCAAUGUGAUUCUUAUUCAUUUCUAAAUUAGCCCAUGGAAUAUAUGCAUUAAUAAAUCUCACAGCCACGUAGUGCUCUAGCCUCUUGGUUACAUAUUGCUAAUUGUUUAUAUAACCACAUAUUUUAUAGUACAGCUAAAUAAUUGAUGUCCAGUAAUUUCUUUAAAGGAGAAAAUCAGCAAAAAUUAACUACGAUAGUUCUGCAAGCUUCUUUUCUAUUUUUUAAGUUCAUUUUUAAUUUUUUUAUUAAAUUUUUUUUUCAGUUCUGUAAACUCCUUAUGGUCAAAGCUAAGAUCUGCUUUGAGUGUUUAUUAAUUCUUAAAAGCUGCUUGUUUUCACCUAAGAAUGAGUACAAUUUUUUUUCCCAUUUCAUAGCAGGGAGCAAGACCUAGAAAUUUCUUAGGUACUGUUUUAAUCGAUCAUAGGCCUACCUUGCUCCCGCUGUGAGUGAUUCCUCCUGGACUCCCAGAUGGUCUUCCUAUCUCCUGCCUGCUUAGAGACCCCAUCCUGGCCUCUGGUCUUACCUUCAUACCACUUGACACUUUAUGGACUAGCCAUUCUGACCUUCUUUGUGUCCUCUUGUUAGAUCCAUUGUCCUCUCUCAGGUCUCACUCAGGGUCCAUUUUGUAUUUGUGAAUGCUGCACAUCUUGGGAAUAGAAAUGCUUUAUGAUCUCAGUUGGACUGGUCAUAGAAACACUAAUGCAAUCACAUCAACAAAUGACCAAAAAGAAACUCAUAGCUGACUUGCUCUGCCACAUAGAGCCUGUGUCCAUAGAGAAGGAGACAAUUGAAGAAGAGUUCAACGCCUAGAAGGUGAAGGUGUCUCCUGUGGCUCAGAGUGGGGGCUCUGGAGCAUACCUGAGGGGCCUUAAAUCCCAGCUCCAUCACCUUGCUUAUAACCUUGGGCAAAUUACUUAGGUAACUUUGACUGCAGAGAUAAACAUGAAUAGCCAAACUCACAAGGUUGUCAUGGGCAUUAAAUGAGAUCAUCCCUGUAAAUUGCUUAGAGUAUAUGUAGUCUAUAGUAUACACUCAAUAAAUGUACAUCUCUGGUGUAUCAUUACAUUAAUAUUAUUAUUACAUAUUGCUUUUCUUUCUCUUUGAUAGCAGACCUUAAUGAGAUAUCUAUCAGCCAUGUAAAUCCAUUCAUUCAUUCAUCAAAGGUUUAUUAGGCGUCUACUGUGUGCCAGACACUCUCUUCUAGGUGACAGAGAAACACCAAUAAACAAAACAGAGAUGUCUGGGAUGCCUGGGUUGCUCAGUGGUUGAGUGUCUUCCUUCACACCCAGGGCGUGAUCCCUAGUGUCAGG